ACUCCUACGGGAGGCAGCAGUGGGGAAUAUUGCACAAUGGGGGGAAACCCUGAUGCAGCCAUGCCGCGUGUGUGAAGAAGGCCUUCGGGUUGUAAAGCACUUUCAGUAGGGAGGAAGGUAGUGUAGUUAACACCUGCACAUUUUGACGUUUAACCUACAGAAGAAGCACCGGCUAACUCCGUGCCAGCAGCCGCGGUAAUACGGAGGGUGCGAGCGUUAAUCGGAAUUACUGGGCGUAAAGCGCAUGCAGGCGGCCUGUUAAGUCAGAUGUGAAAGCCCGGGGCUUAACCUCGGAAUUGCAUUUGAAACUGGUAGGGCCUUAAGAGUCUUGUAGAGGGGGGUAGAAUUUCAGGUGUGAGCGGUGAAAUGCGUAGAGAUCUGAAGGAAUACCAGUGGCGAAGGCGGCCCCCUGGACAAAGACUGACGCUCAGAUGCGAAAGCGUGGGGAGCAAACAGGAUU
rnacentral:rRNA from 1 species